CUGCGGCUAUAUCACGUGGAAACACCGGUUCUCCUCCGAUCACCGAAGUUAAACAACAUCAAGACUCGACAUUAACUAGAUGGGUGACUGCAUGGGAAUACCAGAUGCUGU